rnacentral:rRNA from 1 species
AUUGAACGCUGGCGGCAUGCUUUACACAUGCAAGUCGAACGGUAACAGGCCGCAAGGUGUUGACGAGUGGCGAACGGGUGAGUAAUGCAUCGGAACGUGCCCAGUCGUGGGGGAUAACGCAGCGAAAGCUGCGCUAAUACCGCAUACGAUCUAUGGAUGAAAGCGGGGGACCGUAAGGCCUCGCGCGAUUGGAGCGGCCGAUGUCAGAUUAGGUAGUUGGUGGGGUAAAGGCUCACCAAGCCAACGAUCUGUAGCUGGUCUGAGAGGACGACCAGCCACACUGGGCCUGAGACACGGCGCAGACUCGUACGGGAGGCAGCAGUGGGGAAUUUUGGACAAUGGGCGCAAGCCUGAUCCAGCAAUGCCGCGUGCAGGAAGAAGGCCUUCGGGUUGUAAACUGCUUUUGUACGGAACGAAACGGGCCUGGUUAAUACCUGGGGCUAAUGACGGUACCGUAAGAAUAAGCACCGGCUAACUACGUGCCAGCCGCCGCCGUAAUAC